rnacentral:rRNA from 1 species
GUGGAGUUACAAAAUGCUUAGUUAGUGGAACGAGCUGGGAAGCUCGACUCCAAAGGGUAAUAGUCCCGUACACGAAAACGAAGCAUCUCUAUGGCUGUAGUUCUUGAGUAUCUCGAGACACGAAUAGCUCGAGUGAAUUUGCCGGAACUAACCGGUAA